CGCCUCCUGCAACUAACUGAGUAUAGGAGGUCCAGCCUGCCCAGUGACUACGGGUUUAACGGCCGCGGUAUUUUGACCGUGCAAAGGUAGCGCAAUCACUUGUCUCUUAAAUAGAGACCUGUAUGAAUGGCUAGACGAGGGCUUAACUGUCUCCCCCCUUCAGUCAGUGAAAUUGAUCUAUCCGUGCAGAAGCGGGUAUACUACUACAAGACGAGAAGACCCUUUGGAGCUUAAGGUAUAAAAUUCAACCACGUUAAACGACUCUAUAAAAAGCAGGAACUUAGUGGCCGUGAAAUUUUACCUUCGGUUGGGGCGACCACGGAGUAAAAAUCAACCUCCGAGUGGACUGGGCCAAACCCCUAGAACUAAGAGAAACAUCUCUAAGCCACAGAACAUCUGACCAAUAAUGAUCCGACUACAAUAGUCGAUCAACGAACCAAGUUACCCUAGGGAUAACAGCGCAAUCCUCUCCCAGAGCCCAUAUCAACGAGAGGGUUUACGACCUCGAUGUUGGAUCAGGACAUCCUAAUGGUGCAGCCGCUAUUAAGGGUUCGUUUGUUCAACGAUUAAAGUCCU
rnacentral:rRNA from 1 species